rnacentral:rRNA from 1 species
GUAAAAGCUACUAAGAGCUCACGGGGGAUGCCUUGGCGUUGAAUGCCGAAGAAGGACGUGGGACACUGCGAAAAGCCGGGGGGAGCUGUGAACGAGCGCCGAUCCCCGGAUGUCCGAAUGGAGAAAUCCGGCUGAGCGAACCUCAGUCAUCGACAUAUGAAUAUAUAGUAUGUCGAGGGGAACCCGGUGAACUGAAACAUCUAAGUAACCGGAGGAAAAGAGAGGAUUCCCUGAGUAGUGGCGAGCGAAAGGGGAAGAGCCCAAACCGAUAUGCAGGGAUGCAUAUCGGGGUAGUAGGAUCAGCGAGAAGUGAAAAAAGCGAAGCAGAAGCAGAAGGGCGUGGGAAAGUCCGGCAGAGAGGGUGAGACCCCCGUAAGCGAAACUGCGGAGACACGAGCUGACACCUGAGUAGUGCCGUGCACGCUAAUACGGCAUGAAGCUNGGAAGACCACUUCCCAAGGCUAAA